rnacentral:lncRNA from 1 species
UCCAGGUGCCACCCUAGAUCAACCGAGUCAGAACCUUCAUUUUAAGAAGAACUCCAGGAAUCAACAAUUUUGGUGGAAGAUAUAAACAACAAAACUAACACAGCAGAACAAAACUUUGGCAACAUGGAAGUCCAGGUCUUACUGAUUCCUGAGAAAAUCCUGGAAGGUAUUACCCGGGUGACUGAUUUCCACCUUCAGCAAUGGAAAAGUAAGAAGAAUAACAAUGAGUGUGUAACUCUAAGAUGAUCAGAGAAAAACUUGCCAUCUGGACGUCAUAAGAAAAUAACUAGUUUCUGAGGCCUGCCUGGAGCCCCCUGAACCAACGCCAUCACAGUGGAGUCAAAUCACAUGCACUCACUGCAUCCGAGAGGAAGACACCUCCGGGCUCCUUCUCGUCCAGCUGCUCUUCACUAUGACACUCCUUCAGCCUCCGCUUGAAGAUCAGUAAGAGGAAGCGCUCUGCCUCCCUCCAAAGGCAGAUUAGUCAUAUUCGGACAGCUCUAAUAAUCAUAAAAUUCUUCUUUCAAUCUGA